UGAGGAAUAUUGGACAAUGGGCGCAAGCCUGAUCCAGCCAUGCCGCGUGCAGGAAGAAGCAUCUAUGGUGUGUAAACUGCUUUUGUACGGGAAGAAACACUCCUUCGUGAAGGAGCUUGACGGUACCGUAAGAAUAAGGAUCGGCUAACUCCGUGCCAGCAGCCGCGGUAAUACGGAGGAUCCAAGCGUUAUCCGGAAUCAUUGGGUUUAAAGGGUCCGUAGGCGGUUUAGUAAGUCAGUGGUGAAAGCCCAUCGCUCAACGAUGGAACGGCCAUUGAUACUGCUAGACUUGAAUUAUUAGGAAGUAACUAGAAUAUGUAGUGUAGCGGUGAAGUGCUUAGAUAUUACAUGGAAUACCAAUUGCGAAGGCAGGUUACCAUGUCUUAACUGACGCUGAUGGACGAAAGCGUGGGGAGCGAACA
rnacentral:rRNA from 1 species